AGUUAAAAAUUUUAUCCAUUUUGAGAAUUAAAAUUUGGCAUGACUGAUAAAAUAAUCAAAAACAUAUACGUGGUGUGUCAUGUGUACCUCAUUAUAACAUAUAAGGAUAAUUUUUUAACAAUAAAAAUGGAUGAAAUUUUUAACA
rfam:Gossypium hirsutum cultivar TM-1 chromosome 19, whole genome shotgun sequence